GCACACGUAGCUCAGCAGGAUAGAGCGGCCGCCUCCUAAGCGGCAGGCCGUACGUUCGAAUCGUAUCGUGUGCACCA
rnacentral:tRNA from 1 species